rnacentral:misc_RNA from 1 species
UUUCCGUAGGUGAACCUGCGGAAGGAUCAUUAAUGAAUGCUUUUGGAGAAGAGUUGCUGCUGGCUGUAACAGGCAUGUGCACGCUCUUUUCUGAAUCCCUCUUCAUCCACCUGUGCACUUUUGUAUAGGAGUUUUUGUAAGUUUUAUGCGGACUUUGUAGAGCUAAGGCUUUGCAAGUGAAGGUCAAGCCUCUAGAACUGAAAGAAGCUUCUAUAUUUUUAUAUAUACCCUAUUGUAUGUCUAGAAUGUUUUUUUUUAUUGGGACUUCAGUGGCCCUCUAAAACUUUGUACAACUUUCAGCAACGGAUCUCUUGGCUCUCCCAUCGAUGAAGAACGCAGC